GCCUCUGUAGCUCAGCUGGUUAAAGCGCUGCACCGGAAUCGCAGGGCCGUAAGUUCAAUUCCUACCAGAGGAC
rnacentral:tRNA from 1 species